GACGAACGCUGGCGGCGUGCCUAAUACAUGCAAGUCGAACGCAGUGGGGACGGGUGAGUAACACGUGGGUAACCUCCCAUCAGAGGGGAUAACACUUGGAAACAGGUGCUAAACCGAUACUGAUGGAUGGACCCGCGGUGCAUUAGCUAGUUGGUGAGGGAACGGCCCACCAAGGCCACGCUGCAUAGCGGACCUGGGAGGGUGAUCGGCAACACUGGAACUGGGACACGGCCCAGACUCCUAGGGGAGGCAGAAGUAGGGAAUCUUCGGCAAUGGACGAAAGUCUGACCGGGCAACGCCGCGUGAGUGAAGAAGGUUUUCGGACCGUAAACCUCUGUUGUUGGGGAAGCGGUAUCUAACCAGAAAGCCACGGCUAACUACGUGCCAGCAGCCGCGGUAAUAC
rnacentral:rRNA from 1 species